UAAAAGACAGUUUGUGAGCAUCCCAUCCAUUCAAUGAUCUCGCACUUUAUCCAGAACAAAGGAGAAAGUGGCCCUCCCGAAUUAGUGGUGAAACAAUAGCAUACCUAGAUAUUUUCCCAAAUCAUCCCCUCGAAGGAACCCCAAAUUAGUACAAAGAUGUGCAGUUACAUCCUCCUUUACACUGUUCAAGAAAAAUACUUGAGUUUUCUAUAUA
rnacentral:lncRNA from 1 species